CCUACGGGAGACAGCAGUGGGGAAUAUUGCACAAUGGGGGAAACCCUGAUGCAGCGACGCCGCGUGAGUGAGGAAGUAUUUCGGUAUGUAAAGCUCUAUCUGCAGGGAAGAAAAUGACGGUACCUGACUAAGAUGCCCCGGCUAACUACGUGCCAGCAGCCGCGGUAAUCCGGAGGGGGCAAGCGUUAUCCGGAUUUACUGGGUGUAAAGGGAGCGUAGACGGUUAAUCAAGUCAGAAGUGAAAACCCAGGGCUCAACCUUGGGACUGCAUUUGAAACUGAGUAGCUAGAGUGCAGGAGAGGUAAGCGGAAUUCCUAGUGUAGCGGUGAAAUGCGUAGAUAUUAGGAGGAACACCAGUGGCGAAGGCGGCUUACUGGACUGUGACUGACAUUGAUGCUCGAAAGUGUGGGUAUCAAACAGGAUUAGAUACCCGGGUAGUC
rnacentral:rRNA from 1 species